UAGUAUUUUCUUGUUUUUACCUGGUAAUAUUAUUUCCGACACCCCUUGAACACACUUUGAUUUUCUGUAGUUCAGUGAAUGCAACAAAAGCACGUUGCUGCAUUAAGCUAGGCAAAACGGAGCAAGACACCGAGAGCAAUUAACAAGCUACACAAGGCCUUUAUGUGUUUUACUCUCGACCAAAACCAGGCAGAGCGUGUAUUUGUUUCUUGGGAAUUCCGACUGGUUUUUUGUGAUCCUGGAUCUGAAGUGGUUCUGGAUAUGGAUGG